CACGUAGGGUGCGAGCGUUGUCCGGAAUUAUUGGGCGUAAAGAGCUCGUAGGCGGUGUGUCGCGUCGGCCGUGAAAACCCUGCAGCUUAACUGUGGGCUUGCGGUCGAUACGGGCAUCACUGGAGUUCGGCAGGGGAGACUGGAAUUCCUGGUGUAGCGGUGAAAUGCGCAGAUAUCAGGGAGGGAACACCGGUGGGCGAAGGCGGGUCUCUGG
rnacentral:rRNA from 1 species